AUUGAACGCUGGCGGCAGGCCUAACACAUGCAAGUCGAGCGGAUGACGGGAGCUUGCUCCUCGAUUCAGCGGCGGACGGGUGAGUAAUACCUAGGAAUCUGCCUGAUAGUGGGGGGCAACGUUUCGAAAGGAACGCUAAUACCGCAUACGUCCUACGGGAGAAAGAAGGGGACCUUCGGGCCUUGCGCUAUCAGAUGAGCCUAGGUCGGAUUAGCUAGUUGGUGAGGUAAUGGCUCACCAAGGCGACGAUCCGUAACUGGUCUGAGAGGAUGAUCAGUCACACUGGAACUGAGACACGGUCCAGACUCCUACGGGAGGCAGCAGUGGGGAAUAUUGGACAAUGGGCGAAAGCCUGAUCCAGCCAUGCCGCGUGUGUGAAGAAGGUCUUCGGAUUGUAAAGCACUUUAAGUUGGGAGGAAGGGCAGUAAGCUAAUACCUUGCUGUAUUGACGUUACUCGCAGAAGAAGCACCGGCUAACUCUGUGCCAGCCGCCGCCGUAAUAC
rnacentral:rRNA from 1 species